CAAUCAACAGGUUGACCAUAGCUUGUAUCAACAUUAGAAUCAAUCAACAGGUUGACCAUAGCCUGCAUCAACAUUAGAAUCCAUCAACAGGUUGACCAUAGCUUGUAUCAACAGUAUAAACCAUCAACAGGUUGACCAUAGCCUGUAUCAACAUUAGAAUCCAUCAACAGGUUGACCAUAGCUUGUAUCAACAGUAGAAUCAAUCAACAGGUUGACCAUAGCUUGUAUCAACAUUAGAAUCAAUCAACAGGUUGACCAUAGCCUGCAUCAACAUUAGAAUCCAUCAACAGGUUGACCAUAGCUUGUAUCAACAGUAUAAACCAUCAACAGGUUGACCAUAGCUUGUAUCAACAUUAGAAUCAAUCAACAGGUUGACCAUAGCCUGCAUCAACAUUAGAAUCCAUCAACAGGUUGACCAUAGCUUGUAUCAACAGUAUAAACCAUCAACAGGUUAGACCAUAGCCUGUAUCAACAUUAGAAUCCAUCAACAGGUUGACCAUAGCCUGUAUCAACAUUAGAAUCGAAGCAUCUCUGGGCUGGCUGCCAGCAACAGCUUGGAUGUAUCUCAUUCUCAAUCUCUUAAAAAUCCUCCCUCUCAUAAUUUUCCCCCCUUCAUCUGCACUGUUUGGAAAAUGUUUAACCUGGUCAGUUCUUGCAGAUCAGUGCAAUGAAGGAGAGGAUGAAUUUUUAGAUAGAGCCACAGUGUGCUCUGUGUGUGUCAUCACUGUCUUCAUGGAGAGGCAGGAAACACAGAUUAUGUCAGGUACUCCUCUGGUGGCCAACAGCGCCACCCUGUGGCUCAAGUCUUCUAUUGCAACAACAAAAACGUUUUGUACACUACAGUAUUAUAGACUACAUUAUCCACAUAAUUAUUAUUACUACACACUAUCAUACACAUUUCUCAACCAUUGAAAUAAGAAGGCUUUUUUUUUUUACUUGACAAUUCACAUAAAUAAAUGUAUUAUUAGUGCCAUUGAUUGAUCAGAGUGCUUAUCGAAGAACAUGAUUAGAGGAAUGUACAAUAACAAUUAACCCUACAUUUCCCAUUGAUCCAUUUCUGAACAACGGUCAACAGAUAUCAACAUAUAUAAUGGCUUGCGGCACACCUGGGUAGUGUUCAAUAGGUCACACCGUAGCAAAACAUUUUGCAACGGAAAACUACAAUCUGUGCUCACAUUUUCAGGUAGUACCUUAGUACACAUUCAGGCUGUACCUCCCUGUUUCAAUUGUUUGUUUUUUUAACAGUUGUUUUCACUCUGCUUUUCCUCCCAAAUGAACACAACCCGGCUUGAUAACAGCUGGUUUCACUCUGCUUUUAAAAAUGUUUUCCCUAAUGAACACAACCCGGCUUGAUAACAGCUGCUUUCACUCUGCUUUUAAAAACGUUUUCCCUAAUGAACACAACCCGGCUUGGUAACAGCUGGUUGACCAAGCGCAACAACGUGCCCUCUUAUAUGUGUGUGUGUAUUCCCUCUUGUGUGUGUGUGUGUGUGCCUUCAUCCAUGACAUCACAAGAGGAUUCAUCACCAUGGCACUGUGUUGCCGGGGCCGGUUGCCAAAGUGGGUAUCACAUCUAUUUAUAACACUAGGGGUCACCUGGACUGGCUGGGGAGCACUACCACACACACACACACACACACACACACACACACACACACACACACACACACACACACACACACACACACACACACACACACACACACACACACACUGCCUGAUGAUCAAACGCUAGCUGCUUGGCUUAUCUGCCUUCAGAUGAAUCACCCCCUGCCUGCCUUCUAAGGCUGAAUUCAAAUGGAGGCCCUCCUUCUUCAUUUGUGCCUCUGAGUGAUGUAGGACGAGGCCUGACAUCAACAUUGGUAGUGGCUCUGCUUAGGGCCAUGGUUUUGUUUGGAUUAGGGGAGAUGUGGGUAAGGUUGUUUUAGAAUAGAAUGAAAGUGUGUUUAGGCUCAGAGAUGUUCUAUGUUAUGGGGAGUGGGGGGGGGCUGUACAGCUAGGUGAACAGCAGAGAGAG